AUUUCUCUGUGACUGCACUGAUGCCAAGGCAAAGCCAAGGCAAACAAGGUUGGUUGGUAGCAUUGAUUCCCAUCUUCAAAACCUCUCCAAAUUAGCCCUGAAUAUGAGUUACCAUGAGCAAAAAAAACCAAGUUCAAAAGGAUGAAGAGAGGCCAACGUGUCAGACCCGUCUCUGAAUUUCUGGGUCAUAACUGUUUUAAAUUAGUAUUCCCAAUACUGUUUCCAUGAAACGCUUGGCUUCAUUCUGCAACGGAAAAGCUAUUUUUGUGCUCUGGGCACACAUAUUUAUAUGGAGAUAUAUCCAUAAUUCCAAUUAAAUCUUGUUUCUGUGAUGCUCUUUUUCUCUACUGAAAAAGGCAUCACUCUCAUCACUAUUAUUUCUGAUAAGAGUCUUACAAAGUUCAGGCUCUGAGUCAAGUACAGAUGCUGCAGGACUCCGACAAAUGACAGUUGUCAUUCACUUUAGACCUUGUGAAAUUCUCGAGGAAACUUUCAGUUUUUCCUCCUAUUAGGGCUCAAUCUUCUUGGAUUCCAUGACUCACCUGCCCUGCAAUGGCUGAGGGCUUUCGUGAUCCCUCCUGGGAAAAUUGAAGCCCGGCAGUGUCUCUAGCUGAUAUGCAUGCUUAACAUACUUCCUCUGAAGCUGAACAUUUACAAUAUUGACUUUGUAGGGAACCCUGGGGCCUAGCUGGGAGACCAGGAAAGAGUUAAGAGUUUGGAAGGCUGCCUCCUUGGUACUCAGAGGGCUGAGAACUGGACACUGGAAAGGUCAAGCAGUCAAGGCAAGACAAGUGUGUAAGUUACUACCCUAACUUUGUUUAAAUUAGAGCUGUCUGAACCCUAAAAGCUUAAGGCCUUGGAAAUAUAAUGAAUGUUUAUGUUAUGGUUACAUGUUUAUUGUUCGCCUCUGUUCCCUAAUGAAAAGGGAGUCAAUUAUCACUACAUAUACAAGCUAUACCUCCUGUUAAUGGUUGUAACCACAAGAUAGAUUGAAACCCUAUUUUCUGCAUGUACCUGUAGUCACCUCCCCUGUACUGAACUAAAUAAUAUUGGUGAUGGAAAGCACAGGGCUUGAAAGC